UACGGAGGGUGCAAGCGUUAUCCGGAUUUACUGGGUUUAAAGGGUGCGCAGGCGGAUAUGUAAGUCGGGUGUGAAAUUUCGGAGCUUAACUCCGAAACUGCAUUCGAUACUGCGGUGCUUGAGGACUGGAGAGGAGACUGGAAUUCAUGGUGUAGCAGUGAAAUGCGUAGAGAUCAUGAGGAAGACCAGUGGCGAAGGCGGGUCUCUGGACAGUUCCUGACACUGAGGCACGAAGGCCAGGGGAGCAAACGGG
rnacentral:rRNA from 1 species